GAUGAACGCUGGCGGCGUGCCUAAUACAUGCAAGUCGAGCUAACGGACGAGAAGCUUGCUUCUCUGAUGUUAGCGGCGGACGGGUGAGUAACACGUGGAUAACCUACCUAUAAGACUGGGAUAACUUCGGGAAACCGGAGCUAAUACCGGAUGAUAUUUUGAACCUCAUGGUUCAAAAGUGAAAGACGUUCUUGCUGUCACUUAUAGAUGGAUCCGCGCUGCAUUAGCUAGUUGGUAAGGUAACGGCUUACCAAGGCAACGAUGCAUAGCCGACCUGAGAGGGUGAGCGGACACACUGGAACUGAGACACGGUCCAGACUCCUACGGGAGGCAGCAGUAGGGAAUCUUCCGCAAUGGGAGAAAGCCUGACGGAGCAACGCCGCGUGAGUGAUGAAGGUAUUCGGAUCGUAAAACUCUGUUAUUAGGGAAGAACAUAUGUGUAAGUAACUGUGCACAUCUUGAAGGUACAUAAUCAGAAAGCCACGGCUAACUACGGG
rnacentral:rRNA from 1 species